rnacentral:rRNA from 1 species
GACGAACGCUGGCGGCGUGCUUAACACAUGCAAGUCGAACGAUGAACCCGGGGCUUGCUCCGGUGGAUUAGUGGCCAACGGGUGAGUAACACGUGAGUAACCUGCCCUUGACUCUGGGAUAACUGCGGGAAACUGUAGCUAAUACCGGAUACGACCCUCGGCGGCAUCGCCAGGGGGUGGAAAGAAUUUCGGUCAAGGAUGGACUCGCGGCCUAUCAGCUAGUGGGUGUGGUAACGGCUCACCAAGGCGACGACGGGUAGCCGGCCUGAGAGGGUGACCGGCCACACUGGGACUGAGACACGGCCCAGACUCCUACGGGAGGCAGCAGUGGGGAAUAUUGCACAAUGGGCGCAAGCCUGAUGCAGCAACGCCGCGUGAGGGAUGACGGCCUUCGGGUUGUAAACCUCUUUUAGUAGGGAAGAAGCGAAAGUGACGGUACCUGCAGAAAAAGCACCGGCUAACUACGUGCCAGCCGCCGCGGUAA